GAUGAAGAACGCAGCGAAAUGCGAUAAGUAAUGUGAAUUGCAGAACUCAGUGAAUCAUCGAAUCUUUGAACGCACAUUGCGCCCGCCAGCAUUCUGGCGGGCAUGCCUGUUCGAGCGUCAUUUCAACCCUCGAGCCCGACUUCCUUGCGGAGGACGGCUCGGCGUUGGGGGACGGCACACUCCCCCCGGCUCGCCGGGGACGCCGCCCCCGAAAUUCAGUGGCGGCCCUCGGAGGCGACCUCUGCGUAGUAACUCAACCUCGCAAAGGGAAGCUCCGAGCGGCCACGCCGUGAAACCCCAACUAUAUCAAGGUUGACCUCGAAUCAGGUAGGACUACCCGCUGAACUUAAGCAUAUCAAUAAGCGGAGGA
rnacentral:misc_RNA from 1 species